GCUUACGGCCAUACCAACCUGGCUAUGCCAGAUCUCGUCUGAUCUCGGAAGCUAAGCAGGUUUGGGCCUGGUUAGUACUUGGGAUGGGAGACCGCCUGGGGAAUACCAGGUGCUGUAAGCU
rnacentral:rRNA from 1 species